AUUGAACGCUGGCGGCAUGCCUUACACAUGCAAGUCGAACGGCAGCACGGGGGCAACCUUGGUGGCGAGUGGCGAACGGGUGAGUAAUGCAUCGGAACGUGCCCAGUAGUGGGGGAUAACUAGUCGAAAGAUUAGCUAAUACCGCAUACGACCUAUGGGUGAAAGUGGGGGAUUCGCAAGAACCUCGCGCUAUCGGAGCGGCCGAUGUCUGAUUAGCAGUUGGCGGGGUAAAAGCCCACCAAGGCGACGAUCAGUAGCUGGUCUGAGAGGACGACCAGCCACACUGGGACUGAGACACGGCCCAGACUCCUACGGGAGGCAGCAGUGGGGAAUUUUGGACAAUGGGCGCAAGCCUGAUCCAGCCAUGCCGCGUGCGGGAAGAAGGCC
rnacentral:rRNA from 1 species